GACGAACGCUGGCGGCGUGCUUAACACAUGCAAGUCGAACGCUGAAGCUCAGCUUUUGUUGGGUGGAUGAGUGGCGAACGGGUGAGUAACACGUGAGUAACCUGCCUCCUUCUUUGGGAUAACGCCCGGAAACGGGUGCUAAUACUGGAUAUUCACUGGUCUUCGCAUGGGGGUUGGUGGAAAGGGUUUUUCUGGUGGGGGAUGGGCUCGCGGCCUAUCAGCUUGUUGGUGGGGUGAUGGCCUACCAAGGCUUUGACGGGUAGCCGGCCUGAGAGGGUGACCGGUCACAUUGGGACUGGGAUACGGCCCAGACUCCUACGGGAGGCAGCAGUGGGGAAUAUUGCACAAUGGGCGCAAGCCUGAUGCAGCGACGCCGCGUGAGGGAUGGAGGCCUUCGGGUUGUGAACCUCUUUCGCUCAUGGUCAAGCUGCAACAAUGGUUGUGGUGAGGGUAGUGGGUAAAGAAGCGCCGGCUAACUACGUG
rnacentral:rRNA from 1 species